ACUUUAGAAGAUGGUUUCGAGUAAUAUGAGAAAAUGCUUUGUUUAAAAUAUUUAUAAAAAACUAAUCAAAGUUUUGGCAAGACUUUUCUGGCAACAAUUUAAUCACAGAGUCAUGUCUUAAGUAACAGAAAUUAGGCAUUCAACCUGAGACAGGUAUUUAUUUUUUCUUUCAUUAUGUUGCUUUCAAAGAAAAAGUUUGAAAAGGACAAAUCAAACACCACUUAAAAGUAAAACUAA
rnacentral:lncRNA from 1 species